GCCAAUUUGUUAAUUCUGUUGCGGCAUCUGUUUUUGUAAUAUAUUUGAUAAUAUUGUUAUUUAACGACACAUUAUCGUUUAUAUUUGAUAUAUACUUGAAUUUUGUAUUAUAAAAUGAUGGAAUUAGAAGAAGCUUCAUUGGAAGAUGCCGAAAAUAUCAUGUCAGAGGAUCAAAUCCUAGUAACAACACUUGGUCAUAGAUCUGGAUACCAAAAAGGUAUGGGGUAGAAGUUCCUAGCAGAAGUAAAUAUUCCUCAAAUACACGAGAAAGUGAAAUUGAGCUUCAAAUCGCAAGGAGCAUAAUUGGUACCCUCAGUACAUAAUUAGUAGAGCAAAAUGAGAAAAACAAGAGCUAUGAAGAAAAAAUAGAGACUUUGCAAGUACAAAUGCAAGAAAUGCAACAAUUCUUUCUGAAAAUGCCAGGGAAUAGUACUACACAAAAUUCUUUAUGGUAAGAACUUGUUACAAUGUAUGAUUUGAUGAAUUUAAUAAUAUAGUUUUUAUGUCAAAAUUCGGUUAUUGUGUAUCAUAAUUUGAGUUUUGUGAUUCUUGUCGAAUGAUGGUACAUGCUUUUGAAGACUGAAGUUGGUUGGUACUGUGUUUUUGUGUGAAGGUUGAUCGUGUCGGAUAUUUUCUUGUCUUAGCUGUUACGCAGUUCAAGACUACUAUAUGACGUUGUUGGGUGUGUUUUUGGAAAUGUCAGUUUCAACUCAACUAGCGAUAGUAGCCGAGCCAGGGGUUUUGGUUGAGGCGGCGGCGGUGGGUUGUGGUGGUCGAGGUGGCGGCGAGGGGUUGUAGUGGUCGAGGCGGCGGUGGCUGGGGUUGUGGUGGUUGAGGCGGCGGCGGGCUGCGGUGGUCGAGGGAGCGGGUUGUGGUGGUCGAAAUAGCGACGAGGGGUUGUGGUGGUCGAGGCGGCAGUGGGGGGGCUGUGGUGGUUGAGGCGGCGGGCUGUGUUCGUCGAGGCGGCGGGUUGUGGUGGUCGAUAUGGCGGCGAGGGAUUGUGGUGGUUGUGACGGCGGGAAUGUGGUUAUUGUGGAGAUUUGAUUGAAAACAUAUUUUUUUUACUAAUUGCA